UACGUAGGGGGCAAGCGUUGUCCGGAAUCAUUGGGCGUAAAGCGCGUGUAGGCGGCCCGGUAAGUCCGCUGUGAAAGUCGGGGGCUCAACCCUCGGAUGCCGGUGGAUACUGUCGGGCUAGAGUGCGGGAGAGGCGAGUGGAAUUCCUGGUGUAGCGGUGAAAUGCGCAGAUAUCAGGAGGAACACCAAUUGCGAAGGCAGCUCGCUGGGACGUAACUGACGCUGAGACGCGAAAGCGUGGGGAGCAAACAGG
rnacentral:rRNA from 1 species